AUUUUUUCUGUGUUUUUGUUCCCGUGAUCUAUGAUCUACUCAUCGUUUGAAAAUGGAGCAUUUACGAUAUUGCAGAAAGCCACAGCGGUUGACGAUUCAAUGUUGAAUGUCUUCUUGCGAUGAACCCACAAGGUUAUCCUAUAGGAUCUAUAGACACAAACUUGGAUUAAACAUUGGAUCGAUUAUCAUGUUCAGUCGCAAUAUUGAACCACAAAGUGGUUUGCUCAAUGGCACGGGUUUAUUUGUAAAUAGACGCAGCAUUGAAGCUCGAAUAUUGACAAGGAGGCUAUGAUUCAUUUUGCAGCAAAACGAUCGAGAUCCUAAGCUACCAUUUAAAUUGACGAUUUCCUGUCGUAUUGGCUUUUGCUUUGACAAUUAAUGUUAAAAAUAAAAAAAAAGUAAAUAAGUGUGUACCUUCCUACAACAGUA